UACGGAGGGUGCAAGCGUUAUCCGGAUUCACUGGGUUUAAAGGGUGCGUAGGUGGGAAUCUAAGUCAGUGGUGAAAUCUCCGUGCUUAACAUGGAAACUGCCAUUGAUACUAUGUUUCUUGAAUUUUCUGGAGGUAAGCGGAAUAUGUCAUGUAGCGGUGAAAUGCUUAGAUAUGACAUAGAACACCAAUUGCGAAGGCAGCUUGCUACAGGGAUAUUGACACUGAGGCACGAAAGCGUGGGGAUCAAACAGG
rnacentral:rRNA from 1 species